GACGAACGCUGGCGGCGUGCCUAAUACAUGCAAGUUGAGCGAUGAAGAUUGGUGCUUGCACCAAUUUGAAGAGCGGCGAACGGGUGAGUAACGCGUGGGGAAUCUGCCUUUGAGCGGGGGACAACAUUUGGAAACGAAUGCUAAUACCGCAUAAUAACUUUAAACAUAAGUUUUAAGUUUGAAAGAUGCAAUUGCAUCACUCAAAGAUGAUCCCGCGUUGUAUUAGCUAGUUGGUGAGGUAAAGGCUCACCAAGGCGAUGAUACAUAGCCGACCUGAGAGGGUGAUCGGCCACAUUGGGACUGAGACACGGCCCAAACUCCUACGGGAGGCAGCAGUAGGGAAUCUUCGGCAAUGGACGAAAGUCUGACCGAGCAACGCCGCGUGAGUGAAGAAGGGUUUCGGAUCGUAAAACUCUGUUGGUAGAGAAGAACGUUGGUGAGAGUGGAAAGCUCAUCAAGUGACGGUAACUACCCAGAAAGGGACGGCUAACUACGUG
rnacentral:rRNA from 1 species